GAUGAAGAACGUAGCGAAAUGCGAUAAGUAAUGUGAAUUGCAGAAUUCAGUGAAUCAUCGAAUCUUUGAACGCACAUUGCGCCCGCCAGUAUUCUGGCGGGCAUGCCUGUUCGAGCGUCAUUUCAACCAUCAAGCCCCAGGCUUGUGUUGGGGACCUGCGGCUGCCGCAGGCCCUGAAAACCAGUGGCGGGCUCGCUGUCACACCGGGCGUAGUAGAUUUUAUCUCGCUCAGGGCGUGCUGCGGGUCCUGGCCGUUAAAAGCCUUUUUUUACCCAAGGUUGACCUCGGAUCAGGUAGGAAGACCCGCUGAACUUAAGCAUAUCAAUAAGCGGAGGA
rnacentral:misc_RNA from 1 species